UCAGUGUUUGAUUAUUCAGGUCUGCCUCGAGAACCUGGAAGUAGUGUUCAGACAGAUACACUGAUCAUCUGUCUGCAGCUCAUCUUCUGCAACAUUGCGAGCCCCACAGGUGUCGAGCUCUCCAUGGAUCCAGGCGGUGUUGACCAGCUCAUCCUUGGGUCUAGAGGGCUUCAAAGCUCACUCCGUCUUCCAGGAGAUCAGUAGAAAGCUGCAUGAUGUAUGAGAAGCCCUGUUCAGUUCAGUUCAUUCAUCUGAGUUCAGUGUUAAAGCCUCUUAACACCUCGACAUCCCUACUCAAGGCUACAGCAGGAUCGAUGUAAAUCUGUGUUAUUUCCCAGCUUUAAUCAUGUCAGCAGGGAUCCUCUGUCAGGUUUCAGGCUGCUGUCAAAGGGUUUUAUUCAGACUACAAAGUUGCUGGGUGCUGAAAGGAUCGUCUUUUCAUUAAACACAAUCCCUCGGUUUUAUCUAGAUGAUCCUUUUCAUGCCAUUUCACGUACAUCACAUACUCUUUUAAGGUGUUUGGUGAUGUGUGUCAAUCCCCUUCCCCAAACUGCUCUUUCAUAACCUGGGUAUAUUAUAAAUCGAACCAUGACGGCAGGGGCAGAUCUAGAAAAAUAUUGAUGGGGUGGCGAGAAGGGGGCAGGAAUUUUUGAGGGGCGGCAACAUAUGGCAGACGUAUAUAUACUGAAUUUAGUCACAGUUAUCACAGUUUGAUGAUAAAUAUAUGUGCACACUACAAAAGGACACAGGCUAUCAUUUACAAAUUUAAUCUCAUGCAAUCAAUGUCUUGCAUUUGAAACAGUUCAUAUAAGGAAUAAGUGACCAUACCCCAUAAGCACCACCACACUCACUAAUGCAUACAGUAUGCAUUGACUAUACCUACUUAUAUUUAACCAUAUUAUUACAACAUGUUCCUGUUAUGUCUGUAAAGCUGCUUUGAAACAAUCUGUAAAAAAAAAAAAAAAAAGAACAAAAGCGCGUGUUCAGCUCACAUUAAAAACGAGUUAAAAACAUCUAAACUUUUCAGAAUGCAGCAAGCGCACCGCGGGUCAUGUGACAAGAACUAACCAAUCAGCUUCGUCCUUUCCCGUAACAACGUUUAAAACUGAGCCAAGAUGAAGGAACAGCUGUUCAAGUUCAUAUAGCUGUAUAUGAAUUGCCAUUUUGAAAUAAAUUUAGUAGCAGAGCUACUGCGAGCGAUUUUUUUCUGCAAAUCCAUUUAUCUUUUGCUGAAAUUUCCACGUCUUCAUGGAGAGAGCACAUCAUGGUUGCUUAGCAAAGGCAGACGCUUCAGGGGCGCUUGUGCCCGAGCGCUUUGGAGAAGGAAAAAGCGGCGCGCCCACUGAUCUAUAUAUAUAUUAUAGAUCAGUGGGCGCGCCUAGCGUUUUACACGCGUUUUUAGGCGCGAUAUGUGAACGGCCCCUUACGCGGUCAUUAUGUGGGAAACACUGCAGACAUAUUUGGAAUAAGAUAAACGCUAAAGUUAUAGUUUGACCUCUUAUUAACGUUAGCGUUCUUCCACUGAUAAACAUGGUAUUAGCUUUGUGGCUAAUCUAAUAUAGCAAUGCAUUAGCGGCUGUAAGUGAUGUUACAGAAUAUUUAGAAGUGAUAAUGAUAGGACCAUUAGUUAGAACUACCACACCAUUUUUAUAUACAGUGUAUGAACUAAAUCAUCUCACAUGACGAAUGACAGACUCACCUUAUAAACAGUACAUCUCUUGUGGCUUGGCUGAUCGCUUUCUUCUAUAGUGGAGUUGCAGACUCUGCAACUGCGGAGCUCCCUCUGGUGGGCAAACUAUUCAACACUCAUAACAUGAGUGAAGCAUGAGACUCUGUUUCUCAUGUUUGGCCGAUGCCGAUUUAAAUGCAAUAAGCUCAUAUCGGCCGAUAAUAUCGACCAGCCGAUAUAUCGGUCGGGCUCUAAUUAAAAAUGUAUAGGUGUGCAUUGUAGCUGACACCUAAAUGAACACAUUACAAUUACAAUCUCCUCAGAUGCUAUUGAGAUUCAAAUUUGCGUUUGAGCCCAUGUGAAAGAGUAGCAUAAUUUACAUAUGAUUUACAGAUUAUUUUAAUAAAUAUCAAACAUUUAAUUCAAUUGUGCAUUAUAGCUGACACCUACAUGAACAAUUACAGUUGUUUUUAUGACUAUAAGUCAUUCUCCUCAAAUGCUCUGACGUUAGAAAAGUGUAUACCAAUAUCGGGCCCCAGGAUGUCUUCAUGACAACAAUAUCUAUACUUCAUGUUGAGCAUAAAUAUAAAGCCUAAAGGACAUCGUCAACAGUAUUGACAGCAAAAUAGACUAUGUUUGACAGGUGCAAUUUUUGAAAAUUUAUAAGUAUUAAUUUAUUUUUUAAAUUACAUAUCUGAAUAUAUGUCAGAGUUAUGAGCGGGUUCGCGAAUCAUUUGAGUCAGUUCGGGAGUUCGUAGCGGAAUCGCGAAUCAUUUGAGUCAGUUCGGGAGUUCGAAGCGGUAUCGCGAAUCAUUUGAGUCAGUUCGUGAGUUCAAAGCGGAUUCGCGAAUCUUUUGAGUCUGUUCGGGAGUUCAAAGCGGAUUCGCGAAUCAUUUGAGUCAGUUGAUUGCGAAUCAUUCGAAUCAGUUCGGGAGUUCGUAGCGGGAUCGCGAAUCAUUUGAGACAGUUUGGGGAUUGCGAAUCAUUUGAAUCAGUUCGGGAGUUCGUAGCGGGAUCGCGAAUCAUUUGAGUCAGUUUCGGGAGUUCAAAGCGGAUUCGCGAAUCAUUUGAGUCAGUUGAUUGCGAAUCAUUUGAAUCAAUUCGGGAGUUCGUAGCGGGAUCGCGAAUCAUUUGAGUCAGUUUCGGGAGUUCAAAGCGGACUCGCGAAUCAUUUGAGUAAGUUUGGGGAUUGCGAAUCAUUUGAAUCAGUUCGGGAGUUCGUAGCCGGAUCGCGAAUCAUUUGAGUCAGUUUGGGGAUCGCAAAUCAUUUGAAUCAGUUUGGAGCGGGAUCGCUAAUGUGUCGUCAUCAUGACGUUUUCCCAGUGGUGAACGCAAAGCAUUUUGGGAAUCCGCGGCACAAACAUUAGGUGCUAGACUUCUUUGCAUGAGGGAAGAACGCAGUGUUCAAGAUGCUGUCUACCUGUCCUGCUGUGUUAUAAACUACCAUAGUCGUUCUCACGAUAGAAGUGGCAUAAAGCUUAAGAAUGGAAUAUCCUUUUAUCGUUUUCCAGCGUGGAAAAGUAAUAGUACAAGCCAUGUUUCAGAGGUGACAAAAAGGCGACGAAUGGCUUGGAUAGCAGCGGUAAGGAGGCCAAGGUUACCUUCGAUAACACUCCACCACACAUGAUGGUGUGUUCAAAGCAUUUUCACAAAGACACUACACCUGCACCUGAGAAGGAAGGUCCUGUGAAUAAACCUCCAUCGCCAGACACUGUCCACACCGGUCAUGAGACUGAGCUGAAGACUUUGCUGGAUAAUAUUGUGUUUGUGUGCUGUGCUUUGACCAAUAUGUGUCCAAGUAUUGUUGUGUAGGCAUCAUGUUAGAAUUAUACACCAUGCUCACAUCUAAUAUGUAAUUCUUUUGUUUGUUUGUUUUCUAAAAAAAGAUAUUGUAAUGUCUCUUCUCACAUGUAAUGUUUUUUUUUUAGCCAUGUCUGUA